GGAAAUGGCAUUUAACUGUGCUCUAGGUACCGGGAGGACACGGUGCCGGCUUUACUGUGGGAUUUUGCAGGAGUCCGAGUGUUAAACCCCAAGGGCUGCCCCGGGUGACUCGUCCCGCGGCAGCGGCAGGACGCGGCUCUCCGGAUGCUGCUCCGCUGGAUCCCUGCGUCGCCCGGCCGUGGGAGCAGCAGGAGUAAGGAUGGGAGCGCUCAGCCGGAAACAUCUCCGAAGCAAGGAGGAGAUGGAUGCAGCCAGAGUGCCAGGGAGUCUCCGGGGAAUUUGGGAAAUCCAGGAAAACACCUAGCACGGUUUUAAUGCCUCUCUGGAGGCAUUGUCCGGAGCAGGGAUUAAGUUAGACUCAGGGUUGGCUUUCAAGAUGCAGCGUGUUAUGGUUUCAUUUUCCGCUGGAUGUUAAGUUCACGCAUGAUGUCUCUUCGGGGUCAUGUUUUCCCAAAGCAGCAGAAACUUUAGAGAGUCUGAUUUAAUGAAUGGUUCUGAUCGAUCUGAAACAUGGGGGUAGGGGGGUGUACAGGUAUAUGUUAUACAUAUGUAUCUAUGUAUGUAUCUGGGUAGGGUGCAAAGAAUGUGUUUUUGAAGGUGCGUUUAUGCAUUUCUGCAUACAUGCAGCUGUAAUAUUUUCUUCUGUCCUUAAAAUCUAUUAUUCCAGCUGUGAAUGCAUGUAUGUAUACUAAAACACUGUAUACUGGAGUCUAUCUCUUGUUAUAACAAAUAUUGCAAAAAGCAAAUAAAGAGACAUUGUUCUCAUAGCAGUC